rnacentral:rRNA from 1 species
UACGGAGGGUGCGAGCGUUGUCCGGAAUCACUGGGCGUAAAGGGCGCGUAGGCGGCCUGAUAAGUAGGGGGGUGAAAUCUUGCGGCUUAACCGCAAGGCUGCCUUCUAAACUGUCGGGCUCGAGCACAGUAGAGGCAGGUGGAAUUCCCGGUGUAGCGGUGGAAUGCGUAGAGAUCGGGAAGAACAUCAGUGGCGAAGGCGGCCUGCUGGGCUGUUGCUGACGCUGAGGCGCGACAGCGUGGGGGAGCAAACAGG